rnacentral:tRNA from 1 species
UAAAAAGAAGCUUUAUAGAAGCAUAAAAUUUUUAAUUUUAUGAAGUGGUAUUAUUUUUCCUCCUUUUUAA